CACUCCUGCGGGAGGCAGCAGUGGGGAAUUUUGGACAAUGGGCGAAAGCCUGAUCCAGCAAUGCCGCGUGAGUGAAGAAGGCCUUCGGGUUGUAAAGCUCUUUUGUCAGGGAAGAAACGGUGAAAGCUAAUAUCUUUUGCUAAUGACGGUACCUGAAGAAUAAGCACCGGCUAACUACGUGCCAGCAGCCGCGGUAAUACGUAGGGUGCAAGCGUUAAUCGGAAUUACUGGGCGUAAAGCGUGCGCAGGCGGUUUUGUAAGUCUGAUGUGAAAUCCCCGGGCUCAACCUGGGAAUUGCAUUGGAGACUGCAAGGCUAGAAUCUGGCAGAGGGGGGUAGAAUUCCACGUGUAGCAGUGAAAUGCGUAGAUAUGUGGAGGAACACCGAUGGCGAAGGCAGCCCCCUGGGUCAAGAUUGACGCUCAUGCACGAAAGCGUGGGGAGCAAACAGGAUUAGAAACCCUUGUAGUCCCAUG
rnacentral:rRNA from 1 species